rnacentral:tRNA from 1 species
GCCUGUAGGGAUAGCUCAGUUGGUAGAGCAUGACUCUUAAUCUCAGGGCUGUGGGUUCAAGACCCACAUUGGGCA